GAUCCUGGCUCAGGAUGAACGCUAGCUACAGGCUUAACACAUGCAAGUCGAGGGGCAGCAUGGUCUAGCAAUAGACUGAUGGCGACCGGCGCACGGGUGAGUAACACGUAUCCAACCUGCCGAUUAUUCCGGGAUAGCCUUUCGAAAGAAAGAUUAAUACUGGAUAGCAUAACGAGAAGGCAUCUUCUUGUUAUUAAAGAAUUUCGAUAAUCGAUGGGGAUGCGUUCCAUUAG
rnacentral:rRNA from 1 species